CACACGACUCUCGGCAACGGAUAUCUCGGCUCUCGCAUCGAUGAAGAACGUAGCGAAAUGCGAUACCUGGUAUGAAUUGCAGAAUCCCGUGAACCAUCGAGUCUUUGAACGCAAGUUGCGCCCGAGGCCAUCCGGCCGAGGGCACGCCUGCCUGGGCGUCACGC
rnacentral:rRNA from 1 species